rnacentral:rRNA from 1 species
UAAUACGGAGGGUGCAAGCGUUGCUCGGAAUUAUUGGGCGUAAAGCGCGUGUAGGCGGCUUUGUAAGUCUGGUGUGAAAUCCCGGGGCUUAACUCCGGAACGGCACUGGAUACUGCAAAGCUAGAGGGCGAGAGAGGAUGGUGGAAUUCCUGGUGUAGGGGUGAAAUCCGUAGAUAUCAGGAGGAACAUCAGUGGCGAAGGCGGCCAUCUGGCUCGCACCUGACGCUGAGACGCGAAAGCGUGGGUAGCAAACAGGAUUAGAUACCCUGGUAGUCCACGCCCUAAACGAUGAUUACUAGACGUCAGAAAGCCUAAUCUUUUUGGUGUCGCAGCUAACGCAUUAAGUAAUCCGCCUGGGAAGUACGGUCGCAAGAUUA